GCAGGCUUUAUUACACAGAUCAACAAGAGAGUUAUCAGCCUGUUUCUGCCUACGCCUCAACUCUUCAUCAUCAUCAUCAUCCUCCUCCUCUUCAUCUCCCCGUCCUCUUUUUAAAACCUCAGAGAGCCCAACACGCCCUUAACCCCUAAAUCACCUGCCCCCCUCCUGGGCCAGUGGUGGUGGGUGUGUGUGGGUGUGUGUGGGGGGGUCUGACCACAGCCUCCCUAUUCUAAAAUAAAUAGUCUACAAAAGAAAGCCGUUUCCCUUUCAGGGGGGGGGGGGGUCUGAAAAAAUGUACAAAGUCGUCUGAAAAUAAGUUGAAAUGUUACUUCAAACUAUUGUCUCUAUAUUUCCAUAAAAAAACGGCGGUACAAAAGCGGAGCGGAGCGGAGGAGAAAGAUCCGAGCAGAACCGAUGUCGGGGGACUGAGAACUAGUGUGUUAGCGGAGACCGCUAGUCUGAUGGCUAAGCAGUGUUUUAGUCGCGUUAAUGAGCUGGUGAAGCGGCACACACACACACACACUCUACGCUCUGAGGCGCAGUGCUGUGUUUCUCCAGCAGGGGGCCUUUAGCACACACACUCUUUGGUAAGCAGAAAAGUCACCCCAACCCAUGACAACAUGACUCUUACUGUUAAUCAUCGUUAAUGAGCCUAAUUUAUUAAUUAAGCUUUAAUUAAUAAUGAAUUAAACAAGCUUUAAUUAAUAAUGAAUUAAACAAGCUUAAUUAAUGAUGAAUUAAACAAGCUUAAUUAAUGAUCUUCCUUCACCACCUCUCCCAACACAGGGUCCAUCUUCAGGAGAGUCGCUCGCACUCAGAGACUUUUAAACACACAUUUAAAAACAACCUAAAACUAACAGAAGACAUUAACAUGAAACAUCAACAGUGCAAAACCACACACACACACACACACACACACACGCAAAAAAAACCACAUAGGUCUCUCUGUGGGGGCACUGUAAUUGUCCUCUUAAACCCCCUCCAGUGUGUGUGUGUGUGUGUGUGUGUGUGUGUGUGUGUGUGUGUGUGUGUGUGUGUGAGUGAGAGAGUGUGUGCACUGCUGGCUGCUUCUCCAACCAAGGCGGCCUCCACGCUGCCUCAAUGCAUUCUGGGAGGAGGCGAUAGCGCCGAGCGCAGCUUCACCGUCUGCGCUAAUGCACACUCAAGUCACACUUGUUCAGUUGUGUGUGUGUGUGUGUGUGUGUGUGUGUGUGUGUGUGUGUGUGUGUGUCUCCCGCUGCAGCAGGCCUAACUGGCCUCGUCGCCCCCCCCUAUUGUCAGGUUCUCACACCACGCCAGUCAGUCGCCGGUUCCUUUACGGAACGAGUCAAAACAGAGAAACAGGAAGAGAAAACAAACGGAUCAAACGCCAGGAUGACAGACUAAAGAAGUCAAACGCCGAACGCCAGGAUGACAGACUAAAGAAGUCAAACGCCGAACGCCAGGAUGACAGACUAAAGAAGUCAAACGCCGAACGCCAGGAUGACAGACUAAAAGAAGUCUGCUGUCAAACACAGGAGAGAAGAAAAAUGAAAAGAAAUGAGAUGAUUUAGUGUUCUGUCUGUUUGGACCGGGUGCUGGUCCACUGGAGGUCAGAGGUCUCCACAGAACCCCAGAACCGCUGGGCGUCAGGGACUCAGGACCACCCCUCAUAAAAUCCUGGAGUGGAACCGGUCCACUCACGGGCCGUCCCUGUAGCCAUGGAGACGCCCACCCCACUGUCCAUUCCCUGUAGCCAUGGAGAUGCCCACCCCACUGUCCAUUCCCUGUAGCCAUGGAAACGCCCACCCCACUG
ensembl:lncRNA